rnacentral:rRNA from 1 species
CCUACGGUGGGCAGCAGUGAGGAAUAUUGGUCAAUGGACGAGAGUCUGAACCAGCCAAGUAGCGUGAAGGAUGACUGCCCUAUGGGUUGUAAACUUCUUUUAUAAAGGAAUAAAACGAGGCACGUGUGCCUUUUUGCAUGUAUUUUAUGAAUAAGGAUCGGCUAACUCUGUGUCAGCAGCCGCGGUAAUACGGAGGAUCCGAGCGUUAUCGGGAUUUUUUGGGUUUAAAGGGAGCGAAGAUGGGUUGUGAAGUCAGUUGUGAAAGUGUGCGGCUCAACAGUAAAAUUGCAAUUGAUACUGGCAGGCUUGAGUACAGUUGAGGUAAGCGGAAUGCGUAGUGUAGCGGUGAAAUGCUUAGAUAGCACGAAGAACCCCGAUUGCGAAGGCAGCUUACUAAACUGUGACUGACAUUGAUGCUCGAAAGUGUGGGUAUCAAACAGGAUUAGAUACCCUUGUAGUC